UACGAAGGGUGCAAACGUUGCUCGGAAUCAUUGGGCGUAAAGCGCACGUAGGCGGCUUCGCAAGUCGGAUGUGAAAUCCCUCGGCUCAACUAAGGAAGUGCAUCCGAAACUGGCAGGCUGGAGUACUAAAGAGGGUCGCGGAAUUCCCGGUGUAGAGGUGAAAUUCGUAGAUAUCGGGAGGAACACCGGUGGCGAAGGCGGCGACCUGGGUAGAUACUGACGCUGAGGUGCGAAAGCGUGGGGAGCAACAGG
rnacentral:rRNA from 1 species